UUGAAAGUUUAUGGUGAGGGGGUAAACCACUCUGAAUUUUAAAAAAGCAAAUAAAUAGUAAAGAGAAGUUACUACCUUUUGCAUAAUGGUUUAUUAAAAAGUGAUUAAAAUUAUAAUCAUUCGAAAUAAGAAGAUCUAACUGAAAAUUAAAAAAAUUGUAAUAUAAAUUUUAUUUUGUAGUUUCUGUUAGGGGUGAAACGCCUACAUUUCUUUUGAUAUCUAAUUAAGUUGGAAAUAUAUUUAGUAUAGGCCACAGGCUCAAAAGUAGACUAUUUAGAGUUUACUUAAGUAGAAUUUUUAAUUAAUUAUUUACCAUAUGAAAUAAAAUUUUUAUGUUUUUUUAAUUUAUUAAUUAUUUUUAUUAUUUUUCUAAUAUUUACAACGAAGCUAAUUUAAACUUAUUAUUUAGUUAAAUAUGAUAAAAUUAGUAUUUAUAUAUAAAUUUUUUAAAGGAACUCGACAAAUCACUCUAUCAACUGUUUAUCAAAAACAUAGCCUGUAGUAAUAAUUAUAGGUGUAUUCUGCCCAAUGUAAUAACAUAAAUGGCCGCAGUACUUUGACUGUGCUAAGGUAGCAAAAUAAUUUGACUUUUAAUUGGAGCCCCGUAUGAAAGGAAAUAUGUUAGAGAGUUGUCUCAUUUAAAGAUUACAAAAUUUACUUAUUUGGUGAAAAUUCCAAUAAAAAAAUAUUAGACGAGAAGACCCUUAGAAUUUUUAGAAAUGUGUAGAAUAUUUUUACAGUGCUUUUUGUUGGGGCGACAGAGUAUACAGGUUAAACAACUUACUCACUAUACACACACCUAAUAAAUUAAUUAAGAAAAUAAUUACCUAAGGGAUAACAGCAUUAUAAUUCAUUUGUUUGUGACCUCGAUGUUGGACUAGGGACUAUUGCAGUUAGAAAUUGCAAUAGAAGCUUCUGUUCGAAGUAAUUACACCUACAUGAUCUGAGUUCAGACCGGCGUAAGCCAGGUCAGUUUCUAUCUUUUAAGCUUAUAUUCUUAGUACGAAAGGACCAGAGUAU
rnacentral:rRNA from 1 species